UUAGAACUAUGUUGUUCUUUCCUUCCAGAUGCCUCUUCAUUGGAUUUAGAAACUUUUGAUGUACACACUUUAUCAGAUGCUCUCAAGAGGUAUCUCCUAGAUCUGCCAAAUCCCAUAAUUCCAGCAACUGUUUACAGUGAUGUAAUUUCUGUUGCUCAAGAUGUGCAGAGCUCAGAAGAAUACGCACAGUUGCUGAAGAAACUCAUUAGAUCUCCAAAUAUACCUCACCAAUACUGGCUCACGCUCCAGUAUUUGCUCAAACAUUUCCUCAGACUUUGUCAAGCCUCCAGCAAAAAUCUCUUGAAUGCAAGGUCUCUAGCUGAAAUUUUCAGCCCUCUCCUUUUUAAAUACCAGAUAGCAAGCUCUGAUAAUACUGAACACCACAUAAAGAUUCUAGAGACUUUAAUUACAAGUGAAUGGAAUGAGAGACAGCCUGUACCAGGUAAAAGUUAUUUCUAAUAUUUAAAGCUAUGUAGUAUCAUUUUUUAAUAGUAAAAUUCAACUUAAGGACAAUAAAUGUUUGU